AAGCAGACGGUGCGCUAACCCGCAAGGGAGGCAGCCGGCCACGGUAGGGUCAGCGACUGGGGUGAAGUCGUAACAAGGUAGCCGUAGGGGAACCUGCCUGCUGGAUCACCUCCUUUCUAAGGAUGGUUCUUCAGCGAGCUCACGCUCACUAUCGAACCGUUUUAGAAACAUUCAGGGGCCAGCAAUUUCAGGAUUGUUGAGCUCCAUUGGCGGGAUUUCGCCGUCUUCGUUUCUCUUUCUUCGCGGACGAACACUCGCCAGGGGCUGAGCGCUGUGCGACGCACUGACGUAAGUCGGUCGCGCGCCGGUAUGCCUCUCGUGUUAGGGGCUUGUAGCUCAGUUGGUUAGAGCGCGCGCUUGAAUAAGCGUGAGGUCGGAAGUUCAAGUCUUCCCAGGCCCACCAUUUUGAUCGAGUGCGGAGCAUUCGUCUUCUGGUACGGGGCCAUAGCUCAGCUGGGAGAGCGCGUGCUUUGCAAGCAUGAGGUCGUCGGUUCGAUCCCGUCUGGCUCCACCAGAUGGAAUUGAAGCUCGACAAUGCGCCUUGUGCAGGAAGCUCUGUUCAAAUCGUCCGCGAAACAUCACUUCGCACUCAUUGGUCCGGAUGGACGGUGACGUGCGUGUUUUCUGACAUCGUAAAGAGGAGAUCGAUCCGAGUUUGGAUCUGCGGAGCAAUUCGCGGGUACCAUUCCUAAUCUCCAGAUCGUUUUCGGCGCUCGCGCAUCGCAGCUCAUCGCAAGAUGAGUGAGGUGAGCGAGUUGUAAAACGAUCUUUGUAGCGAAGCUUGACCGCCUCGCUAUCGGGCCGAUCUUACGAAGCAAGCUGGUCUUUCUAGUCAAUGUCCGGCUGCGCAAUCGCAUUCAUCGAGGAUGCGUGCCUGAGACUUCGGUCUUUGGGCAGUUGCGCAGACAACAUUCUGCCGAGUGUGUGGACAUUGAUAAUGAGAGCAAUCAAGUGCCUUAAGGGUGUUCGGUGGAUGCCUUGGCGCUGAGAGGCGAUGAAGGACGUGCUACGCUGCGAUAAGCCGUGGGGAGCUGCGAAGAAGCUUUGAUCCACGGAUUUCCGAAUGGGGAAACCCACCUUCGAUAGCCGGAACUCCAAGACCUUGUGUUUUGGGGUUCGACCAGAAAUGGAAGAAAUCAAACCGCGAGGUUUUGGAUUUCCGGUUAUCAAGAGAAGGUAUGAGACUUCCGAAUAAAAUAUCCUUGUACAC
rnacentral:misc_RNA from 1 species